UGAAGAGAAAACGCGUGAUUUUUGCUUAAAUGGCGGAUUUGUGAAGAGAAAACGCGUGUUUUUCGCUUAAAUGGGGAUUUGUGAAGAGAAAACGCGUGAUUUUCGGGUUAAAUGGGAAAUUUUCGAAGAGAAAACACGUGUUUUCCACAUAAAUGGGGGAUUUGCGAAGAAAAAACGCGUGAUUUUCUGGUUAAAUGGAAGAUUCCUGAAGAGAAAACGCGUGAUUUUCAAGUUAAAUGGGGGAUUUGCAAAGAGAAAACGUGUGAUUUUCGCUUAAAUGGUGUAUUUGAGACGAGAAAAUUCGUGAUUUUCGCAUAAAUGGGGGAUUCUCGAAGAGAAAACGCUUGAUUUUCACUUAAAUUGACGAUUCUCAAAGAGAAAACGCGAGAUUUCCACUUAAAUGGGGGUUUUGCGAUGGGAAAACGUGUGAUUUCUGGUUAAAUGGGGGAUUUCUGAAGAGAAAACUCGUGGUUUUUUUGUGUUAAUUGGGGAUUUGCGAAGAGAAAACGCGUGACUUUCGCUUAAAUGUGGGAUUUGAG
ensembl:lncRNA